AUUGAACGCUGGCGGCAUGCCUUACACAUGCAAGUCGAACGGUAACGGGCCUUCGGGUGCCGACGAGUGGCGAACGGGUGAGUAAUGUAUCGGAACGUACCUUUCAGUGGGGGAUAACGUAGCGAAAGUUACGCUAAUACCGCAUAUUCUGUGCGCAGGAAAGCAGGGGACCUUCGGGCCUUGCGCUGAUUGAGCGGCCGAUAUCAGAUUAGCUAGUUGGUGAGGUAAAGGCUCACCAAGGCGACGAUCUGUAGCGGGUCUGAGAGGAUGAUCCGCCACAUUGGAACUGAGACACGGUCCAGACUCCUACGGGAGGCAGCAGUGGGGAAUUUUGGACAAUGGGGGCAACCCUGAUCCAGCCAUGCCGCGUGAGUGAAGAAGGCCUUCGGGUUGUAAAGCUCUUUCGGCCGGGAAGAAAUCGUAUCAGCUAAUACCUGGUGCGGAUGACGGUACCGGCAUAAGAAGCACCGGCUAACUACGUGCCAGCCGCCGCAGUAACAC
rnacentral:rRNA from 1 species